rnacentral:rRNA from 1 species
UYUCGUAGGUGAACCUGCGGAAGGAUCAUUA